UUAUCGUUCUGAGCCUAUAAUGUGUUAUGACAGCUGGCAAUAUUUUGGCACAUUGACAUGUCCCUAUUAAUGUGUGGUGCAUUAGUGGCAACCAGAGGGGCUCUGUUAAAAGGUGACAUUUAGAAAGCUCAGAGGAUAAACAAGGACACUCCACAGAUGAGAACAAACAAUGAAGAAUAAUGGUACAUAAGUCAUUAUUAUACAGUGCAAAAUAUAUUUCCUUUGUAAUCAACUUUUCUUCAAUGUAAUAUAAACACAACAGACGUCCAUCCUUGAUAGCAGCUCCUUUUGGCAAAAUGUUCUUAACAAAAAUAGGACCAGGUCCAUGUACAGUAGAAUCUCUGGUGACAACUGUGAAUCCAAGUCCAUCUGCCCCUAAAUAUUGCCAAGUGGAGGAAGAGAUGGUGGAGGAAAAGAUGGUGGGGAAAAAGUAACACCAUGAGGAGACAACUCUGAAGUCAAUGGAGGCUGCAUUGAUGAGAUCAAACUGGAUACAAUGCCAUUGGACGGUUCAGUAAUC